UGAAAAGACCAGAGUUGGACCCAAAGAGGAGACAUCACAACAGCUGAGACAGUGGAAGCUGUGAACACCAGGAUACCCGAAGGAGACUGCACCACUGAAUCUCACAGGUAUUCUAUCACAGAACUUCACAUCAUAAACCUAGGGAGCCAGAACAGAGCAAUUUAAGAAGCUGAAGCUAACAAGAAGAGUCCCACAAACAAUGGGAAGACAAA